GCUGCGUUGGCCGAAUGGUUAAGGCGUUGGACUCGAAAUCCAAUGGGAUAUUCCCGCGCAGGUUCGAAUCCUGUUCGCAGCG
rnacentral:tRNA from 1 species